rnacentral:rRNA from 1 species
AGAGAGAGACAUGCGCGCAUAUCAAUAAGCGGAGGAAAAGAAACUAACAUAGGAUUCCCUCAGUAACGGCGAGUGAAGCGGGAAGAGCUCAAAUUUGAAAUCUUCAAGGGUUCUACCUUUACGAAUUGUAGUUUAAAGAAGUGUUUUCUGUUGAAGUUUUGGUAAAAGUUCUUUGGAAUAGGACAUCAUAGAGGGUGAGAAUCCCGUAUUUGACCAUUAUUUCCAGCUUUGUGAUACACUUUCAAAGAGUCGGAUUGUUUGGGAAUGCAGUCCAAAAUGGGUGGUAAAUUUCAUCUAAAGCUAAAUACUGGCGAGAGACCGAUAGCGAACAAGUACCGUGAGGGAAAGAUGAAAAGAACUUUGAAAAGAGAGUUAAACAGUACGUGAAAUUGUCAAAAGGGAAGCGUUUGACACCAGUGUUGUUUUCUCGAAAAUCAAUUAAAAAAGGCAGGAUUUUGUGUUGUAUUGACUUUAUCAGCUUUCUGCACUCUUUUCUUGUCUUUUUUAAUGCACUUUUCGUUUAACAAGUCAACAUCAAUUUCUUUUGUUGUAAAAGGGUCAUUGGAAGGUGGCUUUCUUUUCGGAGAAAGUGUUUAUAGCCUUUGGCCUCUGCAAUCGGAGAGAUUGAGGUCUGCAGCGUAGAUCCUUCGGGGUUAGAUACAUUUGUGCUAAGUUAUAGCCUUUCAUAGACAACUUGUUGACUAUGAUCAGUCAUGUAGCUUACUCGCUUAUGCUAUUUUACCUACGCUUAGGAUGUUGAUGUGAUACUGCGAGCA